rfam:Schistosoma mansoni strain Puerto Rico chromosome 1, complete genome
AGUCAGCUGACGAGUCUCAAAUAAGAUGAAACGCGCGUCCUGGAU